AGUGAACGCUGGCGGUAGGCCUAACACAUGCAAGUCGAACGGCAGCACAGUAAGAGCCUGCUCUUACGGGUGGCGAGUGGCGGACGGGUGAGGAAUACAUCGGAAUCUACUUUUUCGUGGGGGAUAACGUAGGGAAACUUACGCUAAUACCGCAUACGACCUACGGGUGAAAGCGGGGGAUCUUCGGACCUUGCGCGAUUGAAUGAGCCGAUGUCGGAUUAGCUAGUUGGCGGGGUAAAGGCCCACCAAGGCGACGAUCCGUAGCUGGUCUGAGAGGAUGAUCAGCCACACUGGAACUGAGACACGGUCCAGACUCCUACGGGAGGCAGCAGUGGGGAAUAUUGGACAAUGGGCGCAAGCCUGAUCCAGCCAUACCGCGUGGGUGAAGAAGGCCUUCGGGUUGUAAAGCCCUUUUGUUGGGAAAGAAAAGCAGCAGGUUAAUACCCCGCUGUUCUGACGGUACCCAAAGAAUAAGCACCGGCUAACUUCGUG
rnacentral:rRNA from 1 species